GUCGUCCAACAGAUUGACAUUCUGACGUCCAAUAUUGACCUUGGUGAAGACGAACCAAGUCUAUCCAAUGGACUCUCCCAAGAUGCAACCAAAAGCAGUCGAACUGGUGUUGUGGCAUUGAUCCACAAUUCAAACAGCGAAGAGGACAUGUCCACUUCCAAUUCCUCUCUCGCUCACAGCCCUGUCACUGUGGAUUUUGUUCACAUUAACAGUCCUUCACCGAUGACAAACUGCACAAAUCCAUCCCCUCCUGAGCAACGAUCUGUUACUGCUGAGGAUAAAGGCAAACGAGUUGUGAAACAGAGCUCAGAGACUCAAAGGACAGCCAAUGGAAACUACCUACCGCAUCGAACAGCAAGGAAAGGCCAACUGGAAAACCACAGACCCCCUGUAGCUCCAGCAGUGUGCACUAACUCAAAUAAAACCCAACGGCCUCCACCUUACCCUCAGAACGGACAGGUGAAGAUGAGGACGCCCCCCUAUCCUGGAAAACAUAAGACCCUCUCCUCCACCGUAGUGGACUGAUGCCACACAACCCAGCUGACUCACACCGGAGGACGGAGAAUCCCAGGCCGAGGGGCAGUGACUGUAUUUCCCAUGGAAAACGCCAGAAGCAUCUCAAAGCCCUCUUUCUCUCUCACACCCCUGCUGGAAAAAAAGCCUAGUUUGGACCAACCUAAAGUCACCAUGAGAUGGCAUUGACAGCUCAAUUUACUUAUAUAGCCUGAUGUAUUUCUGAUUGAAAGUGUGAGAAGAGAGGAAAGUGUGAGUCAUGUGGUUGGAGGGGCGGGGUCAAAAAGCAAGAGGGAUUUGUGAUGUCAGCUGAAUAGGAAAGUCGUUUCAGAGGCGGAGCAAGUUGUUUAAUUUUGUUGAAAGAUUAUGAAAACGGAG
rnacentral:lncRNA from 1 species